UAUAAUUAUAUAUACGACAUUUUAUCAUCUAAAAUUUUAGUGUUUGUCAGACAGUCAGCUUCAAUACGUUCAAAAUGAGAAACGGGAUAAUACAGUCAUGUUUUUUGUUGAUUUUGUUAUUUUCGGUGUCCGAACAAUGUGGAUGUCCUGCACAGUAUACACAACAAGUCAUUUGCGACUCUAAAUUGGGUAAGACCUUUUUUAUCAAUGAUAUGAGGGGUUUCAAGUGUUGUGUAAAUAGUGUAACAUGUUAUAGGGAUGAUUUCAAAAUAAGACAAAUAUUUGAGAAAAUAAUAAAUUUAAAAAAAAAACAUAUUACAGAGUAAGUAGAGGGCAUUGUCGAAUAUAUUUCACUUAAUUGAACAAGCCCUAAACAAGAACGAUUAUCGAAGCACGUUCAGCUUUAAAACUUGUGUGUUCGAAGAGGUCAGAAAAGCUCAUUUUUUUCUGUUUUGUGUUUGUUUGAAGAUAAGUUACAUUUUUUUUGUUCUUAUAAAAAAGAAGAUGUGGUAUGAUUGCCAAUGAGACAAUUAUAGGUCACCGUACGGCCUUCAACAAUGAACAAAGCCCAUACCGCAUAUUCAGCUAUAAAAGGCCCCGAUAAGACAAUGUAAAACAAUUCAAACGAGAAAACGAACUUCUUGGUUGUUUUUUUUUGGUGGGGGGAGGGGGGUUAGGCGUACACAAAUAAGAUGUGGGGCAUUAUAAGGGGGUAAAAAGUAGGAUCGGGGGGGAACAGUUAGGAAGUCGGCCACAUUACAAAAGAUUGAGAUAUCAGAAUGGGGAAAAAAUAAGGAUAUGGGGAAAAGAAGGAAACAGUUGGGAAGUCGGAAACUAGUCAAGAAAAAUCAAUAUUUCGGAUAUGAACAUCCCGCAUAAAAAAAUAUACUACAUAUAACAAUAUUUCAUCUUGUCAACAAACAACUCGUUGUUUUUGAUUUCCGCCAAUGAAAUUCCACAAAAGCUGAAUAAUGAUUAAAAUAUUAUCUUUCGAACAAGUAUAAUUGUUUUAAAUUAUUGAUACGUUUACUAUUGAAAAUAUUGAACAUUAAAAACUUCGCCAUUCAGCGAUCAAUAUAAAAUUAACAAUUAAUUGCCUAUUGCUUCUUUACAGUUGUUGUGGCUAAAAUUGAUUCGUCCUCAGCAGAUGGAUUCAACACCAACUAUAAAAUAUCAGUGACAAAGUUUUAUUAUGUAAGUAUUAACAAUUAU
rnacentral:lncRNA from 1 species